GACGAACGCUGGCGGCGUGCUUAACACAUGCAAGUCGAACGGAAAGGCCCUGCUUUUGUGGGGUGCUCGAGUGGCGAACGGGUGGGUAACACGUGAGUAACCUGCCCUUGACUUUGGGAUAACUUCAGGAAACUGGGGCUAAUACCGGAUAGGAGCUCCUGCUGCAUGGUGGGGGUUGGAAAGUUUCGGCGGUUGGGGAUGGACUCGCGGCUUAUCAGCUUGUUGGUGGGGUAGUGGCUUACCAAGGCUUUGACGGGUAGCCGGCCUGGGAGGGUGACCGGCCACAUUGGGACUGAGAUACGGCCCAGACUCCUACGGGAGGCAACAGUGGGGAAUAUUGCACAAUGGGCGGAAGCCUGAUGCAGCAACGCCGCGUGCGGGAUGACGGCCUUCGGGUUGUAAACCGCUUUCGCCUGUGACGAAGCGUGAGUGACGGUAAUGGGGAAAGAAGCACCGGCUAACUACGU
rnacentral:rRNA from 1 species